UCUGUAUGCUGACAAUUUUGUCUUCAUCAGUUUUGGGUUACUACUGCUGAUUUAUAUGUUGGGAUGGAGAGCCUAACAGGGGCCUUCUCAAAUUUCUUGAUAAAGUUUCUAAAAAGCUAUCUCUAUCUAGUGAAUGUCCAUGAUGUAGGAUACUUGUUUUUGCAGCACUUCUGUCCCCACUUCUUUUCUCAUAUUCCGUUUACUUCUCUCGUUGCUAUUGGAGUCCUAUUCGAAAUUCAUUUGCUUAUGUUAGAACUACUGAAGUCAUAUUGAAUUUUGAUUGUCCAGAUUCGAUAUCAAUGGAUUUGUGACAGGGUUUGGGAACCCAGACUGGUCAAGGACUCACGAACCUGCUAGUCAGACGUCUACCGUGGUCAAGACACUUGUUGAAGGAGGAGCCACAUGUACUGGAAGAACUGUUGUAGAUGACAUGGCCUUUGGUAUUAGUGGUGAACAAAGACAUUUUGAUACUCCAACAAAUCCGGCUAUGAAGCUGUUGGAGGCCUUUUGAUAUCAAAUAGGAUUAUGGUGCAAUUUGUCUUUGAAUAUCAGGACUUCUGCUGCCUAUUUUUCUGCAGUAUAUAUAAUCAUUCCGAGUAGAGAAAUAAGGUUUGAAGUCAAGGAGCUUUUUAGCUUUGUUUUGUCCUUUUUAUUAUGUCCCAAAAGCCUGGUAUUUCAGUUGAGAAUGUAUUCGAUCCAUUGUUUA